rnacentral:rRNA from 1 species
CCUACGGGAGGCAGCAGUGGGGGAUAUUGCACAAUGGGGGAAACCCUGAUGCAGCGACGCCGCGUGGGCGAAGAAGUAUUUCGGUAUGUUAAGCCCUAUCAGCAGGGGAGCAGAAAUGACGGUACCUGAGUAAGAAGCACCGGCUAAAUACGUGCCAGCAGCCGCGGUAAUACGUAUGGUGCAAGCGUUAACCGGAUUUACUGGGUGUAAAGGGAGCGCAGGCGGCACGGCAAGCCUGAUGGGAAAGCGCGCGGCCCAAACGCGGGACUGCCUUGGGAACUGCCGGGCUGGAGUGGCGGAGAGGUAGGCGGAAUUCGUAGUGUAGCGGUGAAAUGCAUAGAUAUUAGGAGGAACACCAGUGGCGAAGGCAGCAUACUGGACGGUGACUGACGCUGAGGCUCGAAAGCGUGGGGAGCAAACAGGAUUAGAUACCCCAGUAGUC